CCGGCGACGCUUUCCCUGAAACGAAACAGAAAUCCUGAAGAUUCUCCUUAAAGGUUUUCUGUGAGUAUUUACUUCACGCAGCUUAUUCACUGCCUCACGACAAUACAUAUUUUAAGCACUACACUGAUUCUAUCGGGCUGCUCUGCUCUGAAUCGAUUCAUACAGCGGAAAUCGGACAACUGGAAAAAUCCCUUAAAUAUGGUUUAAGUGGAAAAUCUUUUUACAGGGAUGGCGAGCAGGAAGCGGAGACCUAACUGGACGGAUGAGGAGUCUCUUCUUCUUGCUACGUUGCUGCAAGACAAGAAGGAUGUGAUCCGAGGGAAGAGCAGCACUGGAGUGUUGCCACAAGACAGGAAACAAGCCUGGGAGGAGAUCGCCAAAACCAUCAACGAUACCUUUCCAGAGAGUCAUCGCACCGUGUUGGACUGCAACAGAAAAUGGGAAAAUCUGCUUGCGAAGGCAAAGGAGGAGAUAAAACGAAAAAGAAGGGAUGCGAAUCAGACUGAAGUCCCGUCCCUUAACAACUUCAGUGCUGUGAGCCAAAUAGUUAUUUCUGUCAUGAACUUUUCUGAAACGCUGCUAAAAGACGACUGGAUCCACAAACCUGGCCCUGACAAAAAUGAAAAAGAGCACACAACAAAUAAAAAAGUCACAAACAGGCAUUCUGUUCUCACCAACUCUGAAGGAGAUCCGGAGGAUUCUUGCUUGACUUCUGUGCAGUCAGUUCAGUGCAGGACUCUGCAGGAGCGGAGGGAUUUGGAGAUGUCGGUGCUGAGAAGACAAGAGACAGUCCUCCGGCUCCAAGAGGAAUAUUACACACUUAAACUUAAGAUGAUGAAAAAGCAAAUGGAGGAGUCAGCUGAAAAGGAGUGACGAUCACCUGGAACCGCAGGACAACCGAGGCUCCUGGUUGGAGGCUGCAUGAGGAGCAGCGAGGCCCUGCACCCUGACUCAGCUCUUCUGUUUUUCUAUCGUUUUGUAAAUGUUGUAGAUUAUUCCCAGUAUAACUUUUAGUUCAAUUUGUAGCUUUAAGUUUGAGUUGUCAUGUUUUUAGGUGUUUGUCUUUUUUAGUCCAGUAUUUUGUUUGCUUUUGGCCUUUGGUCCAUCUUGAAGUUUUGUUGCGAUUGUUUUCAGGGUUGCAGUUUAAGGGAUUUUUGUAAUGUGUGUCUGCUUUGUUUGUUUGUAAAUAAGAAAAAAACAACACAAUAUAAGUGACUUUUCUGAGUAGGAAAAACGACUCCCUCUGCUUAUUUUCCCUGAAUUUUAUGCUCCAUGCCCUCGAUCGGGGCAUAACAGGCUGUAACACCCAGAGCGUUGAAUAAAAGUCAGUUAUUUGCUGUGUGGU
rnacentral:lncRNA from 1 species